rnacentral:lncRNA from 1 species
CUGGGAAUCAAUGUGUGAGGUGGUGCUAUGUAGCAGGAACCCCUCUUGCUUUGCAAAUAGUUUUUUGUUUGUUUUCCUUUUUGCCCAAUAGAGCCCUGCUCUACUGACCCUUCAAUGUGCCCGUGUGCCUAAAUAUUCCUGGUCGUGUGAAAAGAACCCAGGUAUUAGCUGAACUAAGGAGCACAAUUCUGCAACAUUUUGGCACCCAAACACGGGGCUUGAGAAAUGAAUGCAAUUGGAGAAACUGGUUGUUUUACCAGGCGUUGAUUGGAAAUGUGUGCUUCCCUUUAAGCAGUCAAGCUCAACUUGCAGAACUGAUGGGAACCCCUUGGGAAAACUGGCCUCAAAUGUUUGUCUACACAGUCCACAUACAGGGUUCUUAACCUGCGGAAACACUUUCUGAAAAUGUCAGAACUCUUGAAAACAUGGAUGAGGAAAAGCAUAAGUACUGCUUUAUGCUUUUCUUAUGAAUUUUAAAAGAUGUAAUUUAAAGGUACUUUAAAGUGAUAUUUGUGCCCUUGUAACUGAUUCAAAGUAGACUGCUAAGGACAAUAAGUAAUAAGAGUCUACAAAUAUCAGUAAAUUAUGAGAAAAAACGGUCUAAUGGUACUUAAAAUUGCAUUGUGAUUUAUUAAAUAACAUUGAACAGCUCCACCUGUAACAUUAAGAUUCCAUUUGAGCAUAUAGAAAAUAUAUUUAUCGCAACCUGAAGUGAUUUGGAAAGUAUGCUGGGAAGAAAAUAUAUUUACAAAUUAGUCUCAGAGGGUAGGUAUCCUGUAGCCAGAUGGAAUAAGAAGAGAGGGAAGGGAGAUUUUGUUCAAAGGGGGAGCAUAAGCUAAGGAAUAAAGCCACAAACAAUGAUUAAAUUAGGUAAAGUGCAAUUAGCUGAAUAUUGCAUAAGCAUACAUAUGGGAAGAAGUGGAAAAAGGAGUGACAAUAUGAAGCUAAAGGGUUUGAAGUGUUCAAGAUAAUACUAGGCUUCCUAGCCUAUUCCGAGACAUCUUGUUUUAGAGUGCAAUAGAUAAGAACUCUAAGGAUGAAAGUAGGAGACAUGCAUUCUAGUCUACGUUUUGGUUAAUGGACUGAAAGUGAAAGAUGGACUGAAAUUGGGGGAUGGAAUAAAAAUGUGAUAGAAUAGAAAAUAGAAAAAGCAAUUAGCCUAAUGUCAUUGAUACUUAGAGAAAAUAUGGAAAAUAGUAAAUUAGUGAUAUAUAUCUUUUCUAAUUCACCAGGGUGAGUGAACAAAGGAAAUCGGAUUUAAAAGUAUUCAUGACAUAGAUGCAAUAAGGUUUCUCAGUCAGACAUAGCAAAUUGAGGGAAGGGAAGAUUUAGAGGAUUGGAAAAUGUCUUGCUUGUAGACUAAUAGGAUAUCAAUAAGCCAUAUGAGCAAUAAUUUGAAAUAGUUUUUGUAAAGUAUCAUGAAGGUAAACCCUGUUUAGAACAAAUUAGAUUUGAAGUACUUGUGACAAAUGCAAUUGACAAUGCCUUUAUGCAGCUGGAAAAUUGUUGCUUAGCAGAAAAGCUUGUGCUGGACAAAUAGAUGUCCAAAUUGAAUAGAUGUUUUCUUAAGCUGAACUAAUUGAGACAAAUAUCCUUAUUAAAUCAAAAAA